rnacentral:rRNA from 1 species
AUGGCAUUCCUCAUCACGGUGCGCGCCAAAAAGAAGAAGAAGCUGAAACGAAACGAGCAUCGCACAUCUGAGCGCAUGCAUCGCGGCCGAUCGAGAUUUCGCGGGAACGUGGGCGUGGGGGCGAGCAGAACAGAGCGUGAACAGAGGAGUCUGGCGUCGCGGGUCGACGGGUUGGUUCACAGGAACCUCGGGCCGGCCGAGGUGGUGGCCGCCGCCGUGGACACCAUCAUCAUGCGCGCGAAGUCCUGGAAGCCGACGAAGCCGUCGCCGUCGGCGUCGACGCCGCCGAUCAUGCGGCGGCAGUCGUCGAGGCUGCACCCGUCGGCCUCGCCGCCGAGGAUGGCGAGCAGCACGCCGCGGAGCUCCUCGGCAGUGAUGCGGCCGUCGCCGUCGGCGUCGAACACGUUGAACGCCUCCAUCAGCUCGUCCUCGGGGCCGGCCUCCCCGGCGGCCGCGAUGGCCGCCACGGCGUCCAGCUCGUCGUCCGACGGCUCCUCGUGGCCCAGCCGCCGGAGCACGGCCUCCAGCUCCCGCCGCGAGAUCUCCACGGGGAGCACCGACCGCGGCGUGGACGCCCGCGGCAGCGCGUCCUCGGAGGACGACGAGGUGGACGAGGACGAGGCGGACGCGAACGACGGCGCCUCGCUCCGGGAGAUGCCGCGCUUGCCGCUGCCGUCCUGCUGCUGCUGCUUCUUGCCCCGCUUGGGCGACGGGAUGGAGAGCUUCCGGGCCAGCGACUGCAUGGAGAGCUUCAUCUUCGAGCAGAGGAAACAAUCGGGAGGAGAGAAGCUACUCAAAGGAGAUGAAUGCGGAUGGGAUUGUAGCAGGAAAGAUGGAUGGAUUGAUGGGGAUGUGUGGGGUGGGUGGAGGCGGAGGGGGGAGGCGGCGAUAAAUAGGGGAGGCGGAGGGGGGAGGCGGCGAUAA